AUGUCCAAGCCCAACGAGCUCCAAGACGAUGCUCCCAAGUUCGACUUCACCGCCAUCCCUCUUUGUGGCAUUGAUGAUGCCGAGUCUACCUUGACUCUUUUUCAAGAUGGUGCGACGAUGAGUACGACUACGGAGACCUUCAAGGACCAAGCUGUGGAGGCGAGCGACAAGGUGGCUAGCAAGGAUGAUGCUUCCAUCUUAGGAGGCGAGAGUGAUGAUGUGCCAUCUUCGGCCUUCAUCCACGGCGACGGCUACGAGAUGAUCGAGCAUGGAAUUUCCCCUUCGCUCAUGGAGGAGAGUGAUGAUGUGCCAUCUUUGGCCUUCAUCCACGGCGACGACGACGAGAUGGUUGAGUAUUUCACCUCGACCAUGGCGAUGUAUGAUGACUUGAGUGACUUGUGCCACCAUACUGAGAGUGAGAGUGACUUCACCACUAGCCCCAUAUAUGACGAGUUUCCCCAAUUCCCAUGUGAGGAGAGCCACAACCCCCAUCACUUGGGUGAGAUGAGUGACUCCACCAUAUGCGACUUUGAGUGCACCUAUUUUGAGGGAGUGAGUGAACCACCACAUAGAGAGAGUGAGUGUUGGGUUUCGUAG
rnacentral:rRNA from 1 species